CAAUUGCUUAUAACCUUUUGGUUAUAAAUAAUUGUUAGUGGCAGACGGGUGAGUAAUGCGUAGGAAUCUACCUAGUAGUAUGGAAUAGCCAUUAGAAAUGAUGGGUAAUACUGUAUAAUCCCUGCGGGGGAAAGAUUUAUCGCUAUUAGAUGAGCCUACGUUAGAUUAGCUAGUUGGUAAGGUAAUGGCUUACCAAGGCUAUGAUCUAUAGCUGGUCUGAGAGGACGAUCAGCCACACUGGAACUGAGAUACGGUCCAGACUCCUACGGGAGGCAGCAGUGGGGAAUAUUGGACAAUGGGCGAAAGCCUGAUCCAGCUAUGCCGCGUGAGUGAAGAAGGCCUUCGGGUUGUAAAACUCUUUCAAUAGGGAAGAUAAUGACGGUACCUAUAGAAGAAGUCCCGGCAAAGUC
rnacentral:rRNA from 1 species